GCGAACGCAGCGAAACUGAAACAUCUAAGUAGCUGCAGGAAAAGAAAUCAACCGAGAUUCCCAAAGUAGUGGCGAGCGAAAUGGGAAGAGCCUGUAUGUGAUAGUCAACUGGUUAGUGGAACGGAAUGGAAAGUCCGGCGAUAGAGGGUGAUAGCCCCGUACACGAAAACUGGUUGGUGGUACUGAGCAUACGACAAGUAGGGCGGGGCACGAGAAACCUUGUCUGAACAUGGGGGGACCAUCCUCCAAGGCUAAAUACUCGUAAUCGACCGAUAGUGAACCAGUACCGUGAGGGAAAGGCGAAAAGAACCCCGGGAGGGGAGUGAAAUAGAACCUGAAACCGUGUGCAUACAAACAGUGGGAGCGGACUUGUUCCGUGACUGCGUACCUUUUGUAUAAUGGGUCAGCGACUUACGUUCAGUAGCGAGCUUAACCGAGUAGGGGAGGCGUAGGGAAAC
rnacentral:rRNA from 1 species